rnacentral:rRNA from 1 species
GACGAACGCUGGCGGCGUGCUUAACACAUGCAAGUCGAACGAUGAUGCCAGCUUGCUGGUGGCUUAGUGGCGAACGGGUGAGUAACACGUGAGCAACCUGCCCCUGACUUCGGGAUAACCGCGGGAAACCGUGGCUAAUACCGGAUAUGACGCGCUAUCGCAUGGUGGUGUGUGGAAAGAUUUAUCGGUUGGGGAUGGGCUCGCGGCCUAUCAGCUUGUUGGUGGGGUGAUGGCCUACCAAGGCGACGACGGGUAGCCGGCCUGAGAGGGUGACCGGCCACACUGGGACUGAGGCGCGGCACAGACUCCUACGGGAGGCAGGAGAGGGGAAUAUUGCACAAUGGGCGCAAGCCUGAUGCAGCGACGCCGCGUGAGGGAUGACGGCCUUCGGGUUGUAAACCUCGUUCAGUAGGGAAGAAGGCCUUCGGGUUGACGGUACCUGCAGAAGAAGCGCCGGCUAACUACGUG